UACGAAGGGGGCGAGCGUUGUUCGGAAUUACUGGGCGUAAAGCGCACGUAGGCGGCUUUGUAAGUUAGAGGUGAAAGCCCGGGGCUCAACUCCGGAAUUGCCUUUAAGACUGCAUCGCUAGAAUUGUGGAGAGGUAAGUGGAAUUCCGAGUGUAGAGGUGAAAUUCGUAGAUAUUCGGAAGAACACCAGUGGCGAAGGCGACUUACUGGACACAUAUUGACGCUGAGGUGCGAAAGCGUGGGGAGCAAACAGG
rnacentral:rRNA from 1 species